rnacentral:rRNA from 1 species
CCUUAGUACGAGAGGACCGGGAUGGACAUACCGCUGGUGUACCAGUUGUCUUGCCAAAGGCACCGCUGGGUAGCUAUGUAUGGAAGGGAUAAGCGCUGAAAGCAUCUAAGUGCGAAGCCCCCCUCAAGAUGAGAUUUCCGAAGCGAAAGCAGUAAGACACCUCAAAGACUAUGAGGUAGAUAGGCUGGGAGUGGAAGAGCAGUGAUGCUUGGAGCGGACCGGUACUAAUAAGUCGAGAACUUGACCAG